AGGGAAUGCUGCGUAGCUGACAUUCCGAGCAGCCUGAGAGGAGGAGGAGGCCUAGGAUAGGCAUCGGGCAUCAACGUACCAACACUUCUGAAAAUAUCCACGCUGGAAGGACCUUCAGCUUCGCAUCGAGGGAACACGAUGGACAUCUCGAGCAGCCUGAGAGGAGGUGGAGGCCUAGGAGAGGCAUCGGGCAUCGGCGUACUUAACACUUCUGAAAAUAUCCACGCGGGAAGGAGUAUCUUCGCAUCGAAGAAACAGUAACUGACAUCCCGAGCAGCCUGAGAGG